rnacentral:lncRNA from 1 species
AUAAAUUUAGAAUACUUGAAAGUAAAUAUCCUUCUUUUUCAAUCUCGAUAAACUUUGCAUAUCAUGUUGGCGUCGUCGUCGUCCUGCGUCGUCUUGCGUCGUCGUCGUCGUAGUCCGAAUACUUUUAGUUUUCGCACUCUAACUUUAGUAAAAGUGAAUAGAAAUCAAUGAAAUUUUAACAUAAGGUUUAUGACCACAAAAGGAAGGUUGGGAUUGAUUUUGGGAGUUUUGGUCCCAACAUUUUAGGAAUUAGGGGCCAAAAAGGGCCCAAAUAAGCAUUUUCUUGGUUUUCGCACUAUAACUUUAGUUUAAGUGAAUAGAAAUCUAUGAAAUUUUGACACAAGGUUUAUGACCACAAAAGGACGGUUGGGAUUGUCUUUGGGAGUUUUGGUUCCAACAGUUUAGGAAUUAAGGGCCCAAAUAAGCAUUAUUCUUGGUUUUCGCACAAUAACUUUAGUAUAAGUAAAUAGAAAUCAAUGAAAUUUAAACACAAGGUUUAUGACCACAAAGGGAAGGUUGGGAUUGAUUUUUGGAGUUGAGGUCACAACAGUUUAUGAAUUAGGGGCCAAAAAGGGGCCCAAAUAAGCAUUAUUUUUGGUUUUUGCACCAUAACUUUAGUAUAAGUAAAUAGAAAUCUAUGAAAUUUAAACACAAGGUUUAUGACCAUAAAAGGAAGGUUGGGAUUGAUUUUUGGAGUUUUGGUCCCAACAGUUUAGGAAUAAGGGCCCAAAGGGUCCAAAAUUGAACUUUGUGUGAUUUCAUCAAAAAUUGAAUAAUUGGGGUUCUUUGAUAUGCCGAAUCUAACUAUGUAUGUAGAUUCUUAAUUUUUG